CAGGACGAACGCUGGCGGCGUGCCUAACACAUGCAAGUCGAGCGGGGAAUGAUUGGUAGCUUGCUACUGGUUAUUUCUAGCGGCGGACGGGUGAGUAACGCGUGAGCAACCUGCCUUUAUCAGGGGGAUAACGCAUCGAAAGAUGUGCUAAUACCGCGUAAGACCACAGCCUCACAUGGGGCAGGGGUCAAAGGAGCAAUCCGGAUAAAGAUGGGCUCGCGUCCGAUUAGCUAGUUGGUGAGAUAACAGCCCACCAAGGCGACGAUCGGUAGCCGACCUGAGAGGGUGAUCGGCCACAUUGGAACUGAGAAACGGUCCAGACUCCUACGGGAGGCAGCAGUGGGGAAUAUUGGGCAAUGGGCGAAAGCCUGACCCAGCAACGCCGCGUGAGGGAAGAAGGGUUUCGGCUCGUAAACCUCUGUCCUAUGGGACGAAGGAAGUGACGGUACCAUAGGAGGAAGCCCCGGCUAACUACGUGCCAGCAGCCGCGGUAAUACGUAGGGGGCGAGCGUUGUCCGGAAUGAUUGGGCGUAAAGGGCGCGUAGGCGGCCUGCUAAGUCUGAAGUGAAAGUCCUGCUUUCAAGGUGGGAAGUGCUUUGGAUACUGGUGGGCUGGAGUGCAGGAGAGGAAAGCGGAAUUACCGGUGUAGCGGUGAAAUGCGUAGAGAUCGGUAGGAACACCAGUGGCGAAGGCGGCUUUCUGGACUGAAACUGACGCUGAGGCGCGAAAGCGUGGGGAGCAAACAGGAUUAGAUACCCUGGUAGUCCACGCGGUAAACGAUGAAUGCUAGGUGUAGGAGGUAUCGACCCCUUCUGUGCCGCAGUAAACACAAUAAGCAUUCCGCCUGGGGAGUACGGCCGCAAGGUUGAAACUCAAAGGAAU
rnacentral:rRNA from 1 species